rnacentral:lncRNA from 1 species
CAAGCCUUCACCUUCUCUAAGCCCUCCCCUUAUGAGGGUUGUGCCUGCCUCUGAUAUACUUGGGCAAAUCUUUCAGUUUCCUGGAGAAAGCCCAAGAACUUUGACCCCAUAAAAAAGAAAAAGAGUCGGUAUGGGCGUUGGCAGGAGGCUGCUGCAGAGACCAUGCAAGAUGAUGGAGCCAGAUGAAGGCCAUGGGAGUUCAGUUUUGGGAACUGUGACCUGGAAGCUGCUGGUGCCUGCUCCUGUCAAGGUUAUUCUGGUUUAAACUCUUUCUCCCUGUUGGCAUGUGAUUUCGUGCUUUUCACUUCUCCCUUUAAAUGGAAAUGCAGAAAAUGAUCUUCGCCCUCCAGUGGGGAUUGAGAUUUUUUUUUUCCUCUCUCAGCUCUGACACCUGCUACUGUUUCACUUGCUAUUAAAGGUCUGCGUGACCGGGUGGCAUGCCUCAGGCAGUGCUAA